AGCAGCCGCGGUAAUUCCAGCUCCAAUGGCGUAUAUUAAAGUUGCUGCAGUUAAAAAGCUCGUAGUUGAAUUUCGGGACUAAUAUGUCGGUCGUGCCUCGGUACGUACUGGCUUAUUGGUUUCUCCUUUCUGAAGAACCAUGAUGUCAUUUAUUUGGUGUCGUGGGGAAUCAGGACUGUUACUUUGAAAAAUUAGAGUGUUUAAAGCAGGCUCACGCUUGAAUACAUUAGCAUGGAAUAAUGAAAUAGGACGUUUGAUUCUAUUUUGUUGGUUUCUAGGAUCGACGUAAUGAUUAAUAGGGAUAGUUGGGGGCAUUAGUAUUCAAUUGUCAGAGGUGAAAUUCUUGGAUUUAUUGAAGACUAACUACUGCGAAAGCAUUUGCCAAGGAUGUUUUCAUUAAUCAAGAACGAAAGUUAGGGGAUCGAAGACGAUCAGAUACCGUCGUAGUCUUAACCAUAAACUAUGCCGACUAGGGAUCGGAUGAUGUUAAUUUUUAAUGACUCA
rnacentral:rRNA from 1 species